rnacentral:snRNA from 1 species
UUGCUUUGGCAGCAUAUAUACUAAAAUUGGAAUAAUACAGAGAUUAGCAUGGCCACUGUGCAAGGGUAACAUGCAAAUUCAUGAAGCACUCCAUAAAAGU